UUAUAUUUCUAAAAAGUUAUCUACUUUUUUAUUUACCCUCUCAGAAGGGUAAUAUUAAAAAUAUGCUUUUUUCGUUCCAAAUUAUUUCAAUAUAUCCCUUAAAAUUAAACUCUGUUAGUUAACUAUUGGCAAUAGUCAUUAUCUCUAUAAAAUUACUAUUUUACCUUUUCUAAUAUACUCUUUUACCAUCACCACCUUUUCUUAUUUGGCCUUCAGUUAGGAUAAAAAAAAUAUUUUGAUUUUCGAUCUUUUCAAAUAUAUCCAUCUAUCCUCACCAACUUUUCUUAUUUGUUAUUAAGUUAAGGACAAAAGAAAUACUUUAAUUUUUUAACUCUAGUAGUUAUUUAACUCACGUUAAAUUUGAAUUAAUUUAAUAGAGAUAACUAUAAGAAUACAUUAGAAACAAAAAAAAUAAAAAUAAAUUAAAUAUUUUUAAAAUUUUGAAGAGUAUAUAGUAAAUUAUU
rnacentral:lncRNA from 1 species